CCCCUCAUCCAGAAGGAUUCCAUGUUUCGGUCCCCUUCCACAAUCUUCGUGGAAGCUUUCUCUUUCUCAUCUUUUUCUCUCUCCUUUUUCUCUUUCUCUGUCUAAGUAAAUCACUUUCUGCAAAA